UGCAAGUCGAACGAGAAAGCUUCUUCGGAAGUGAUUAAAGUGGCGCACGGGUGAGUAACGCGUAGACAAUCUGCCCUUCAGUCCGGGAUAACUUUCCGAAAGGGGAGCUAAUACCGGAUAACAAUUUUUGACAUAAGUUGAAUAUUUGAAAGCUCCGGCGCUGAUGGAUGAGUCUGCGUCCCAUUAGCUUGUUGGUGUGGUAGUGGCAUACCAAGGCUUCGAUGGGUAGCGGGUUUGAGAGGACGAUCCGCCACACUGGAACUGAGACACGGUCCAGACUCCUACGGGAGGCAGCAGUGGGGAAUAUUGCACAAUGGAGGAAACUCUGAUGCAGCAAUGUCGCGUGAGUGAAGAAGGCCCUUGGGUCGUAAAGCUCUUUUAUGGGGGAAGAUAAUGACGGUACCCCAGGAAUAAGCACCGGCUAACUACGUGCCAGCAGCCGCGGUAAUACGUAGGGUGCGAGCGUUGUUCGGAAUUACUGGGCGUAAAGGGCGCGCAGGCGGAGAUGCAAGUCGGAGGUGAAAGCCCGGGGCUCAACCCCGGAGGGUCUUUCGAAACUGCAUUUCUAGAGAGGGUUAGGGGCCGGCAGAAUUCCUGGUGUAGAGGUGAAAUUCGUAGAUAUCAGGAGGAAUACCAGUGGCGAAAGCGGCCGGCUGGGGCCACUCUGACGCUGAGGCGCGAAAGCGUGGGGAGCAAACAGGAUUAGAUACCCUGGUAGUCCACGCCGUAAACGAUGAGCACUGGACGUUCGGAGGGUUCGACCCUUCUGGGUGUUUCAGCUAACGCAUU
rnacentral:rRNA from 1 species